CCUACGGGAGGCAGCAGUAGGGAAUCUUCCGCAAUGGACGAAAGUCUGACGGAGCAACGCCGCGUGAGUGAUGAAGGUUUUCGGAUCGUAAAGCUCUGUUGUUAGGGAAGAACAAGUACCGUUCGAAUAGGGCGGUACCUUGACGGUACCUAACCAGGAAGCCACGGCUAACUACGUGCCAGCAGCCGCGGUAAU
rnacentral:rRNA from 1 species